rnacentral:lncRNA from 1 species
AAAAAAGCCAGGCUGGCUGGGGUCUCAGCGGCAGCCUGCGCCUCCUUCCUGUUCUCCAACUAUGGACGCCCCUCGUGACUGCCGGCCACGGGAGGAGCAGCAUCCUGCGGGGUGCGCCAGGAAGGGCCUUGCAAGCGGGAAGGAAAGCGCCACCUCUCUCGCCCCCGCCAAGGCCACACCUGGACUCCGCAGGCGGUAGGGCCCGGCCAGCGCCUGGCUCCAGCGAGUCUGGGCCGCCUCCCUACGCACUGCGGGGGCCGCCAGCUGGGCUGCUCGCCUGCGCAGCUCCGCUGCCGGAAGCCGUUCGCCCUGGGGGCGUGGUCCGGGGUCGGUCCCACCCGGGAGGACAGGGUCACUGUGGCCCAAGGACAAGCUUUGGAAUUUCGGCUGGCUUUACCUUCUCUAUUUGUGUUUUUCUUUCUUCCCAGUCCCAGGGGACUGAAACGUGCUAGGUGAGCGCUUUAUCGCUGAGCUAAACCUCCACCCCCUCACUCCCCACCCCCCACCCCCGCAACCUUUUACUUUGAUGUUCUUACCUAGAAAAUGAGGGACUUGUACCCCACCCCCAACACCUGGCGCAGUGCAAAAUUAUGCCGGCAGUGUGUUAAAAGAAUGCAUGCAAGGGUCUAGAACAGCCCUGAGGCCUGGCCUUGUCUUGGGCAAAAGCUUCACACAGGGGAGGAAUCCUUUGUUUCAUCCCUGAGCUGCGUUUUUCUCUAUUUCAAGAGUGUCUAGGAUUAAACUUCUCGGAAACAUGAACACCUAGAAUAUCCUCUGUAAAAGAUAUUAUGGAAGAGUCUCCUAAGAUGUGAAAAAAAAAAGUGUUAAUUGAAAGUAAGUGUGCUAACACACUCCUGUACUCCUAGAAUACUCUGAGGCAAGAGGAUUGUCUGUAGUCAGCUUCUGGUGCAGAUUUUGAGGCUAUUUCGGGCUACGUAAGAUUCUGUUGUCUCAAAAACAUAGAUAAAUUUGGAGGUAAAAAAUGCUCAAAAGAAUUGC